CUGGACAUAGAGAACACAAAGACGGACUCAACGCUUUGUCAGAGCCACGGGGAGACAGUAAAACACAGCAGGCCGCUGUCAGAACAUCCUAAAGCAACCAGUUGUACACACACACACACACACACACACACGCACACGCACACGCGUGCACACUCGGAGCUGCAGCUCAGAACGCCCCAAACGCUGUGCACCCUUGUGUGUCUGCAGUGUUUAGACGUCGUGGAUGUUUAUCGGGGAUCAUCUGAGGCAUUGAGGACGACGUUUGGCAGAUGGACCCCGAUGUGGCGGGCGGUGACAUCUGGUUCAGGACUUUGCUCCUCGCUCCAUCGUAAUUGGUGCGGUGGAGUUUGCUCGAAAGAACAAAACCCUUGUUGACCUUCAGAGGAAGAUGUGGACUCUCUCCCUCCUCUCUUCUGACUUCUCUUCCUCCAACCCUCCUGUUUCUUCUCCCUCCACCCUCUCCUCCACCCUUCCCCCUGUCUUUUGCCGGUUGUUCCUGUCUGAUUUCUACAUGCUGAUGUUAAAUAGGCGUUGCUGUUAUUUCUAAUGGCUUGUGUAUACUGUGUCAUGAAGGUGAUGAUGCUGACUGGUGCCAGAGGCCUUUCCAACACAUGUAAAUAAUACAAAUAAAAGGCUGGAACUUUCGGGAUUGCAGACCAGGAACUGAAUUAUCUGGUGUGCAAAGUGUACAAUCUAUUUCAUAAAUUGAACCGCUGUAUCUUUUUUUUCUCAAUUUUUUGUACUUUCCAGCUCUUGAAAAUAUCUGACAUCUCGUCUCACCUCUUGUUGAUCCUCACAGCAGCAGGAAUGCAUUUUCUACUCAAACGACCGGCGUGAAUACCGGUUAUUAUCAAGACCAUAUUUAAAUUGUUUCUUUUGUAAGGCAGCCGAACACCUCCAGUGUCCUGCAAGAACGUUCGGCCUUUGAUUGACGGGUCCGGCUCCCCUCUCCCCUGAAAUGCCAGCACCAUCUGGGACUUUAUGCUCUGACCUGGGUGGGUUUACAUUGGAGUUAAUCGAUAGCAGGAUGCAAAGGCGUAGCACAUGCAGGGGGGCACAAGUAUUCAACAAGCUGGGAGGAAUGUCGGUUAGAAUUCCAGGUAUUUUUUUCCGAUUGGCAGAUGAAUGAAGCGAGCCACGAGAGGCCGAGAUGAGCAGUCUAACCACGUCAAUGCACGGCCGCUUGUAGCAGCUUCUGCUUCAGCAGAAUGCUCGCCCCGCUAAGGAUUUCGCUCACUUUCUUACUGCCUCCCUGAAAAAAGUCAGAGCCAACAGCUCAGAUUCCUCUAAAGAAUAAGUUGCCGUAAAAUGAAACCUAAGAAUAACAAUUAGCUAAAUAACAUUUAACGGUAUUUUGUCGUGGUUUACUUUUGACGUACCUCAAAAAAGCAUCAAGCGAGUCCCCUGAAGUCUGUGAAGGGACGAAUUAGUGGUGAUGGACGGGUCUAUUAACCCAGGAGAUGUUUGCAAUUCUCCAACACAUUUUGGUACCAUAGUGGAUGAAAUUAAAUGAAUAACAAGGACCAUAAACUCUGAGGUUCGACCUGAAUCCUGAUUGAGGGAGAGACAAAGAAGGCCUACUCGCCCCUCGCUCAGGUCACAGCUCAUGGCCCUGUUUGCUGAGAGAAGCCUUUCUACUCCAAAGUAUGUUCUGCCGAAGGUAAUGCACAUGACUGAUUGGGCUUCCUUGUGCAGACUGAUGCAUCCGCAGGGUUUAAUACCAUGACACACAUGCUCACAAUCAUCUGCUCAAAGGGGAAAGUUUCUCGCCUUGAAGGUCAUUUUAAGUCUUCCAGUAUGUGACAUCGAAACUAGUUUGAAGGCCAAAAUACAAAAUAAACAAGUUUAAUGUUAAAGGUUAAAGCCUUCAGUGCACAUUCGUGUUCCAGGUUCCAGGUUCAAUCCAGAGUGGAUUGGCAGCCGAAAGGACACAAGGUUUCCCCAACUGUCAGCUACCGAGGGCGGACGUGGAUGGAGAUCAGUUAUGACGUUGUGGCGUCUGCAUCGGGGGACACAUGUGGAUACGCAUUAGCAGCAGAAAGGAUUUGAUUACCUUCUGGGGAAAUGCUGCUGGACCACACAUCCAUCCAUCUUCAAAGCCGCUUAUCCUUCAUACAGAAUCGCAGGGGGCAAAUGAGAAGGGGCACGGACGCCCUGGACUCUAAAACACAUCUCGUGCGUUUCCAAAUCUCAACACCACACGAGAAUCAAAACUACAACCACCUCAAAACGCCCUUCAUCUGAGCGCUUUUUAUGCAUGCUAUCUUUCAACAAUCUACUUGAACCUUUGACCUCUGCACCUUUAAACGCUUAAGGUUUUGGACUGAUUCAAGUUUCCAGAAAAAUGUAGCUUUCUCUGAGCUUUUUCCGACAUUCCUCUGGUGAAUUUGAAGAUAUGCAACACCUGAAAUAGAGGCUUUGAGCUGUAACCUUCAUACAAACCCUUACAUACUUUACCUGUUAGACCUCAGUGUGUAAGAGGUUUGUGCUUUAGAAGAUUAUUUGCAGCCGUUUGUUGAUGCAUUGGCUCUCAGAAAGUACUUCAAAUGGGAGGCAAAAUCUGGACAUGUAAUCUUGACACCUGUACGCACUUAAUGGAUUUAAAAAUGUACUUAAAACUUGGGGAGCACGUGAAUUUGUGACUGAUUGGCCUUCAUCAUUGGCUCGCUUAUUAAACCAAAACAUCACAUCACAUGGUUGCGCAAUGACUUUGCUGCCUCUGCGCUUGCUUGUUUUCAGAUCUUGCAGAGGUCUGUGAGAUCUCAAGCCCCUAAAAUAACAACUUUUCGUUGUUUAUCACUUGCUAAUCAUCACUGUUCCUGCAUCAUGACUGAAUUGUGUGAAGUGUGCAUUGAUAUGACCGUAAGCACAGACGUGCAAUGACUCAUCCGGUAAUUGGACGUUAGCUCUCAACAUUAGCUGGGAAAAAUAACUACUGCCAGAUACAACAGGAUGUUCUGCGAAGGUUGUUCCCGCCAAACAAAUCCAACUCUGUGUGAAUGCUACGGUUCAAAUAUUGAGGUUUAUUAAUGAACGUUUCUUAAAACAGGCAUUUGAAUCAAUUGUAUUCACAUUAUGAUUUGUUUGAACAGGCAAAGAUAUUUAAGGGCAAUCAAAUCUCUCCUCCCAGGAAAUGUAGACAUUAAAUGGUAGGUUUUUUCCUGCUCCUACUGAAAGUCAUACUGAUGCAACCUUAACCGCCCUUAACUUUUAACCAGACCCACUGAGUGUGUUCCCUCAGAAAGUCCUUCAAAUCGACACAAUCUGAGCUUGUAACCUCGACACCUGUAUGCACUUAACCACUGAUCCUCUCACUGUUUGUUAUUCUGACCUACUCUCAGUGAGAUUGCUUUUUAAAAAUCUUUCCUUUGUAUGUUAUCUUUAAAAAAAAUCGUGAAACUGACCAAUGUGUGGAUUUUCUACUAUAUAAUAUUUUUUUAUCUAUUAUGUUAAUGCCUGAUUUUAUUUCCUUUUACCACUUGCUGCUGGCUUUCUGGUAAUAACAAAACAUAGCUUUAUAUGUGCUAUGCCAAUUCACCAGAUAAUUAAGACUGUAGAAACAAAACUAACGAGGCCUAUGUAUGUAACUGAUCCUUUGGGUUAUUUCCAGUUUGAAAACCAGACCGAAGGUUGGAUAAAGACUCCCCAUGAGCUGCAAAAUAUAAAAAAGUGACCUUUAAUCCUUAAUUUUUGUCGUACGUUCUCGCAGCCAAAUCAGGGGAACCAAAAGAUUGUCAACACGGUCAAGGUGGAUCAAGAUGAUCCCCAACAGGGUUCAUGCCCCUAAAUCAGUACACACAAAUAUCGAGUCAACAAUUACCAGGAAGUUCAUUUUAAGUGCAACCACAAAAACAUGUCAAACAAAUGGUUAUUUUUUUCCCAGCUGCACGAGUUGGAAGAAAUACCUUCUGUGGGGGGGGAUCGGAGAUCCUGACACUUCGCAAGACGUUAGCAAGAAGGUAGCAAGACGUUAGCAAGAAGGUAGCAAGACGUUAGCAAGAAGGUAGCCAGACGUUAGCAAGACGUUAGCAAGAAGGUAGCCAGACGUUAGCAAGACGUUAGCAAGACAUUAGCAAGAAGGUAGCAAGACGUUAGCAAGAAGGUAGCAAGACGUUAGCAAGACGUUAGCAAGAAGGUAGCCAGACGUUAGCAAGACGUUAGCAAGACGUUAGCAAGACAUUAGCAAGAAGGUAGCAAGACGUUAGCAAGAAGGUAGCAAGACGUUAGCAAGAAGGUAGCCAGACGUUAGCAAGACGUUAGCAAGACGUUAGCAAGAAGGUAGCAAGACGUUAGCAAGAAGGUAGACAGACGUUAGCAAGACGUUAGCAAGACAUUAGCAAGAAGGUAGCAAGACGUUAGCAAGAAGGUAGCAAGACGUUAGCAAGAAGGUAGCCAGACGUUAGCAAGACGUUAGCAAGACAUUAGCAAGAAGGUAGCAAGACGUUAGCAAGAAGGUAGCAAGACGUUAGCAAGAAGGUAGCAAGACGUUAGCAAGACGUUAGCAAGAAGGUAGCAAGACGUUAGCAAGACGUUAGCAAGAAGGUAGCAAGUUAGAAUCCGUGAAUAAAGAAAUCCACAGUACCGUGUUGUAGGCCUGUUGUAGGGAGUGAUGGGAAUCCGCCCGUAGUGAAAGAGGUGAGCCGAGCAAAACACAUAAAAGGUUUUCGACAAAGAUGCCUCGGCAAAAAACAGAAAAUGACUUUGUGACUGCUGUAAGGGGGUCGAGGUGAGGUCCAGUGAUAAUAAACCUUGGGCUCCUCUAACUUUGCAGACACAUUUCACAGAAAUGAAGCUUAUCUGUACCAUGAGACCCUCGAGUGACUUCUGUCAUAACGCUUCCUAUGUGGUCUGGCGGUAAGGGUUCCCCCACCUGCAAAAUAACACGAUAACCCCCGGUUGUCACACCAGAUCGUAUCUCAAUUCCAUUCUCUCAAAUUAUAAGCAGGUUUAUUCAAUAUGUGCGUUUACGCUGGAGAAAUAUCAAUAAAGAUUUUAGUUCCAGCCGGCGCCAA